rnacentral:lncRNA from 1 species
GGUACCACUAUUUUUUUUUGUAAAAUCCCUUUUAGAAACCAGCGAUGAACAUGGUCUAAGAGAGGUUUCCUCAAAACCAUUUUCAGUAUCUAUGAAAAUUGAAACAUACGGUAAAUACGUGUAGGCAAUGGAGCAACUUGUCGCUUCUGGACAGACCACUGGUCCCCUUUGGAUCAUUGCAAGACUACUUCUUACAAGACAGAGCUUCUAGACAGGGUAUCUAUCCCCCUUGAUGCUACUUUAUCAGAUCUCUAUAGGUCAGAAACCUGGGUACUUCCAAGAGCUCGAUCUGAAGCGAUGGUGCAGGUGCAAACAUUCCUAACAACACUGGUACUGCACGAAGGGAUGGAGGACGGCUAUGAGUGGAUUGUCAAUGGAGUGAGGUCUAAGAGAUACAAAACUGCACAGAUAUAUUGGGAGAUUAAAGGAGUAGAAGCACAGGUACCUUGGGCGAGUGUGGUAUGGACUAAAGGUGGAAUCCCAAAGCACAAUUUUCUGGCUUGGCUGUUUAUGUUGAACAGAUGUCCUACACGCGAUCGUCUUCUGGCUUGGGGGCUGCCUGUUGAUGGUACCUGCUUGCUCUGUAACUUGGGGCCAGAAUCUAGAGACCAUCUGUAUUUCCAGUGCCCUUACUCCUAUAGAAUCUGGUCGGAGAUUUCUCGGAGGUGCUCGACUACGCCCUCCCAAUCAUGGCAGGAUACGGUAACUCAAAUGUUGGCUUUAUCAGGGAACAGACAUGCCAAGCGCCUCAUCUUAUUAUGCUGGCAGGCUGUGAUCUACCUAUUAUGGAGAGAGAAAAAUCAACGAUUGCACAAUCAGCGCUUCCUCUCAGAGAAUGAGAUGAUUGCUUCCUUGAAUCGAUUGAUAAAGGACAGAAUCCUCAGCUUCCGAUCCUCGUCGCCUUCGCUCUCAUCCUUCCUCAUGCAGAGAUGGCUUACAACGGAGGUGAUAAACACUACGGACCAUUCAUAAGGACCCUUCGACUUUCACCAAAUUAUCCAUUUAACUACCUGAUCUUAAUUAUGUGUUUUUGACUGAGUACGGGUUAAAAUGUGGGAUUAACUAUAGCAAUAUGCUUGUAAAACAUUUUAUUCUUUUUCUAUAAUAUAUGCCUUAAGUCAAA